UACGGAGGGGACUAGCGUUGUUCGGAAUUACUGGGCGUAAAGCGCGUGUAGGUGGAUUGGUGUGUCAGAUGUGAAAGCCCUGGGCUCAACCCAGGAACUGCACCUGAAACUACCAGUCUUGAGUGGUGGAGAGGGAAGUGGAAUUCCUGGUGUAGAGGUGAAAUUCGUAGAUAUCAGGAGGAACACCAGUGGCGAAGGCGGCUUCCUGGACACUAGCUGACGCUGAGACGCGAAAGCGUGGGGAGCAAACAGG
rnacentral:rRNA from 1 species